GACGAACGCUGGCGGCGUGCCUAAUACAUGCAAGUAGGACGCAGUUGCGAACGGGCGAGUAACGCGUAGGUAACUGCCUAUCAGAGGGGGAUAAAUAUUGGAAACGAUAGCUAAUACCGCAUACUAGUAGAUGGACCUGCGUUGUAUUAGUUAGUAGGUAGGGUAAUGGCCUACCUAGGCGACGAUACAUAGCCGACCUGAGAGGGUGAUCGGCGACACUGGGACUGAGACACGGCCCAGACUCCUACGGGAGGCAGCGGUAGGGAAUCUUCGGCAAUGGGGGGAACCCUGGCCGAGCAACGCCGCGUAAGUGGAGAGGGUUUUCGGGUCGUAAAGCUUGGUUGUUAAGGACGCGGUACUUAACCAGAAAGGGACGGCUAACUACGUGCCAGCAGCCGCGGUAAUAC
rnacentral:rRNA from 1 species